UUUCUCCUCAACCGCACCCACGUCCACGUGCUGCUGGGUCCACGCACCGCUUUGGGCGCAGCUUAUCCCUUCGCUUGCGUCGCCUCCUUCUCCACCACUCGUUCUUCUUCUUUUCCCCAUCCACAUUCAAUCCUUGCUGCCGCACGGCGGCGACCAACGCGGAGAGGAGAUGCAGUUUUUUGUGGCAAACCACCGGCAGCAAGCAGCAACCCGCGACGACGACGACGGCGACAAGUGCUGCAACCAGGACGGACACAAGUGCUGGAGACCCCGCGGCGGCCGGCGUUCAAGAUCUCGGCCAGUUUUUUUUUUGCUGCAACCAAGUGUUUUUUUGCUGGAACCAGCUUCAAAUUUUGCUACCAAGUAUUUGGGUUUUUGUUUGAAGUGAACCAAUUUUUUUGCUUCCACGCUUCUUCCCCUGCUGGAAUCAGUGUAUUUUUUACUACAACUGUCUUUAAUUUUUGCUGGAACUAAUAUUUUUUUUGCUUCCAUGUCAUUUUUUGCUGGAACCAUUGUAUCACUUUUGCUACAAGCGUUUUGAUUUUUUGCUACUACCGCCGUGUUGAUUUGUUACAUCCAUUUUUUCAUGAGGUUACGGAGACCCACAACGAUGUGUUUUUUGCUGCGACCACCGUUGAUUUUUGCUACUGCCGGUGUCGACAUUUGCUGCUUUCACACGUGUGCGAAUAUGGGCUGCAAGCAAAAACGGCGGCGAGCAGCAACCUGGGACGACGGCGAGCAGCAACCUGGGACGACGGCGAUGAGACCAGUGGUCGUCGUUCGCGGGGAAACCUAUGCGACGAGUGUCAGCGGCGAGGGACGGGAGUUGCAACCGGCGACGACCUGCGGGACCAACAGUUCUACGAAUCAGGCGAGUAGUGCUCAUCACGGACGUUUUUUCGAGCUCGCCGGCGACGUGCUUCGAGCUCGCCGGCAACGGGGUCGGCGCGGUCACCCGGGGACACGCGAGGGUGCACUAGCGGGGGAGCUCCUCCUCGAGCUGAGCCGGUCGCCGCCGCCGUGGAUUCGGGAUGGCGCGACGCAGGGGGAACGCAAAUCAUUUUUGUUUCUAGCUGUGGCCUGGGGCUCUGACUCAGAUCUGACGGGCCUUAAUUGCUGCAUCGGAUGGCUGGUGGCGGACCGGCCGAAAAUUUCGGUCGAUGUACCGGCGCCUAGCAGUCGCCAAUGGUAAAACAAAUGCGCAAAUAUCCAUUUUUCUCUUCGGUGAAAUUAAAUAGUAGUACUACUGUUACUACAAGAAA